UACGGAGGGUGCGAGCGUUGUCCGGAAUCACUGGGCGUAAAGGGCGCGUAGGCGGCGCGACAAGUCAAUGGUGAAAGCCCGAGGCUCAACUUCGGGUCGGCCACUGAUACUGUUGGGCUUGAGCACUGUAGAGGCAGGUGGAAUUCCGGGUGUAGCGGUGGAAUGCGUAGAGAUCCGGAAGAACACCCGUGGCGAAGGCGGCCGGCUGGGCCGGAUCCGACGCUGAGGCGCGAAAGCGUGGGGAGCAAACAGG
rnacentral:rRNA from 1 species